GACUAGCCCUGAUAGAAGUGGAAAUCCUUUUAUGUUUUCCUUUAAAACAUAAAAGAUUGCAACGGAUAGCAGGAUUAGCU
ensembl:sRNA